GGGUGAGUAACGCGUAUGCGACCUGCCCGUCACAGGGGGAUAAUCCGGAGAAAUCCGGUCUAAUACCGCAUAAUAUCGUGAAGCUGCAUGGUUUUGCGAUUAAAGGAGCGAUCCGGUGACGGAUGGGCAUGCGUGACAUUAGCUAGUCGGCGGGGUAACGGCCCACCGAGGCGACGAUGUCUAGGGGUUCUGAGAGGAAGGUCCCCCACACUGGUACUGAGACACGGACCAGACUCCUACGGGAGGCAGCAGUGAGGAAUAUUGGUCAAUGGGCUUACGCCUGAACCAGCCAAGUCGCGUGAGGGAAGACUGCCCUAUGGGUUGUAAACCUCUUUUGUCAGGGAGCAACGCCGGCUACGUGUAGCCGGACUGAGAGUACCUGAAGAAAAAGCAUCGGCUAACUCCGUGCCAGCAGCCGCGGUAAUACGGAGGAUGCGAGCGUUAUCCGGAUUUAUUGGGUUUAGAGGGUGCGUAGGCGGAAUGCCAAGUCAGCGGUAAAAUCGCGGGGCUCAACCUCGCUCCGCCGUUGAAACUGGCGUUCUUGAGUGGGCGAGAAGUAUGCGGAAUGCGUGGUGUAGCGGUGAAAUGCA
rnacentral:rRNA from 1 species